rnacentral:rRNA from 1 species
UUAAGUUAGAAAGGGCGCACGGUGGAUGCCUUGACACUAGGAGUCGAUGAAGGACGGGACUAACGCCGAUAUGCUUCGGGGAGCUGUAAGUAAGCUUUGAUCCGAAGAUUUCCGAAUGGGGAAACCCACCAUACGUAAUGGUAUGGUAUCCUUAUCUGAAUACAUAGGGUAAGGAAGACAGACCCAGGGAACUGAAACAUCUAAGUACCUGGAGGAAGAGAAAGCAAAUGCGAUUUCCUGAGUAGCGGCGAGCGAAACGGAACAUAGCCCAAACCAAGAGGCUUGCCUCUUGGGGUUGUAGGACAUUCUAUACGGAGUUACAAAGGAACGAGGUAGACGAAGCGACCUGGAAAGGUCCGUCGUAGAGGGUAACAACCCCGUAGUCGAAACUUCGUUCUCUCUUGAAUGUAUCCUGAGUACGGCGGAACACGUGAAAUUCCGUCGGAAUCUGGGAGGACCAUCUCCCAAGGCUAAAUACUCCCUAGUGAUCGAUAGUGAACCAGUACCGUGAGGGAAAGGUGAAAAGCACCCCGGAAGGGGAGUGAAAGAGAUCCUGAAACCGUGUGCCUACAAAUAGUCAGAGCCCGUUAACGGGUGAUGGCGUGCCUUUUGUAGAAUGAACCGGCGAGUUACGAUCCCGUGCGAGGUUAAGCUGAAGAGGCGGAGCCGCAGCGAAAGCGAGUCUGAAUAGGGCGUUUAGUACGUGGUCGUAGACCCGAAACCAGGUGAUCUACCCAUGUCCAGGGUGAAGUUCAGGUAACACUGAAUGGAGGCCCGAACCCACGCACGUUGAAAAGUGCGGGGAUGAGGUGUGGGUAGCGGAGAAAUUCCAAUCGAACCUGGAGAUAGCUGGUUCUCCCCGAAAUAGCUUUAGGGCUAGCCUUAAGUGUAAGAGUCUUGGAGGUAGAGCACUGAUUGGACUAGGGGUCCUCAUCGGAUUACCGAAUUCAGUCAAACUCCGAAUGCCAAUGACUUAUCCUUAGGAGUCAGACUGCGAGUGAUAAGAUCCGUAGUCAAAAGGGAAACAGCCCAGACCGCCAGCUAAGGUCCCAAAGUGUGUAUUAAGUGGAAAAGGAUGUGGAGUUGCUUAGACAACUAGGAUGUUGGCUUAGAAGCAGCCACCAUUUAAAGAGUGCGUAAUAGCUCACUAGUCGAGUGACUCUGCGCCGAAAAUGUACCGGGGCUAAAUACACCACCGAAGCUGCGGAUUGAUACCGAAUGGUAUCAGUGGUAGGGGAGCGUUCUAAGGACAGUGAAGUCAGACCGUAAGGACUGGUGGAGUGCUUAGAAGUGAGAAUGCCGGUAUGAGUAGCGAAAGACGGGUGAGAAUCCCGUCCACCGAAUGCCUAAGGUUUCCUGAGGAAGGCUCGUCCGCUCAGGGUUAGUCAGGACCUAAGCCGAGGCCGACAGGCGUAGGCGAUGGACAACAGGUUGAUAUUCCUGUACCACCUCUUUAUCGUUUGAGCAAUGGAGGGACGCAGAAGGAUAGAAGAAGCGUGCGAUUGGUUGUGCACGUCCAAGCAGUUAGGCUGAUAAGUAGGCAAAUCCGCUUAUCGUGAAGGCUGAGCUGUGAUGGGGAAGCUCCUUGUGGAGCGAAGUCUUUGAUUCCCCGCUGCCAAGAAAAGCUUCUAGCGAGAUAAAAGGUGCCUGUACCGCAAACCGACACAGGUAGGCGAGGAGAGAAUCCUAAGGUGUGCGAGAGAACUCUGGUUAAGGAACUCGGCAAAAUGACCCCGUAACUUCGGGAGAAGGGGUGCUUUCUUAACGGAAAGCCGCAGUGAAUAGGCCCAAGCGACUGUUUAGCAAAAACACAGCUCUCUGCGAAGCCGUAAGGCGAAGUAUAGGGGGUGACACCUGCCCGGUGCUGGAAGGUUAAGGAGAGGGGUUAGCGUAAGCGAAGCUCUGAACUGAAGCCCCAGUAAACGGCGGCCGUAACUAUAACGGUCCUAAGGUAGCGAAAUUCCUUGUCGGGUAAGUUCCGACCCGCACGAAAGGUGUAACGAUUUGGGCACUGUCUCAACCAGAGACUCGGUGAAAUUAUAGUACCUGUGAAGAUGCAGGUUACCCGCGACAGGACGGAAAGACCCCGUGGAGCUUUACUGUAGCCUGAUAUUGAAUUUUGGUACAGUUUGUACAGGAUAGGCGGGAGCCAUUGAAACCGGAGCGCUAGCUUCGGUGGAGGCGCUGGUGGGAUACCGCCCUGACUGUAUUGAAAUUCUAACCUACGGGUCUUAUCGACCCGGGAGACAGUGUCAGGUGGGCAGUUUGACUGGGGCGGUCGCCUCCUAAAGUGUAACGGAGGCGCCCAAAGGUUCCCUCAGAAUGGUUGGAAAUCAUUCGUAGAGUGCAAAGGCAUAAGGGAGCUUGACUGCGAGACCUACAAGUCGAGCAGGGACGAAAGUCGGGCUUAGUGAUCCGGUGGUUCCGCAUGGAAGGGCCAUCGCUCAACGGAUAAAAGCUACCCCGGGGAUAACAGGCUUAUCUCCCCCAAGAGUCCACAUCGACGGGGAGGUUUGGCACCUCGAUGUCGGCUCAUCGCAUCCUGGGGCUGUAGUCGGUCCCAAGGGUUGGGCUGUUCGCCCAUUAAAGCGGUACGCGAGCUGGGUUCAGAACGUCGUGAGACAGUUCGGUCCCUAUCCGUCGUGGGCGUAGGAAAUUUGAGAGGAGCUGUCCUUAGUACGAGAGGACCGGGAUGGACGCACCGCUGGUGUACCAGUUGUUCUGCCAAGGGCAUAGCUGGGUAGCUAUGUGCGGAAGGGAUAAGUGCUGAAAGCAUCUAAGCAUGAAGCCCCCCUCAAGAUGAGAUUUCCCAUAGCGUAAGCUAGUAAGAUCCCUGAAAGAUGAUCAGGUUGAUAGGUUCGAGGUGGAAGCAUGGUGACAUGUGGAGCUGACGAAUACUAAUAGAUCGAGGACUUAACCAU